rnacentral:rRNA from 1 species
UUGCGGUUAAAAAGCUCGUAGUUGGAGUUCUGCCAGGUGACACUCGUCCGCCCAAGUGGUGUGUACAGGGUGAGCAUCUGGCCCUUUCAAGGGGAACGUGUCUGCUCUUUACUGAGUGGUGCGAGAUCCUUGACUUUUACUUUGAGGAAAUAAGAGUGUUCCAAGCAGGCUCUCGUCGUGCAUAGCUCAGCAUGGAAUAAUAGCAUUGGACUUCGUUUCUAAGCUGUUGGUUGCAAGAAGCGAGGUAAUGAUGAAGAGGGAUAGUUGGGGGCAUUCGUAUUUAACUGUCAGAGGUGAAAUUCUCGGAUUUGUUAAAGACGGACUACUGCGAAAGCAUCUGCCAUGGAUGUUUUCAUUGAUCAAGAACGAAAGUUAGGGGAUCGAAGACGAUCAGAUACCGUCCUAGUCUUAACUAUAAACCAUGCCGGCUAGAGAUCGGAGGUCGUUCGAUUUGUGACACCUUCAGCAUCUUGAGAGAAAUCAAAGCCUUUGGGUUCCGGGGGGAGUAUGGUCGCAAGGCUGAAACUUAAAGGAAUUGACGGAAGGGCACCACCAGGAGUGGAGCCUGCGGCUUAAUUUGACUC